GAAAUAACCACAUGAAAAAAAAAACAGUUAAUAAAAAAAAAAAAGUCAGUUUCUUUCUCCUUCAUUUUCCCAUCAUUUGGCCGCCUCUAUCGACUUUUCUGUGGUCUUUUAACUUCAUAGAGCGAAUAUGAGAAUAAGAAUGAAAGAAUGAGAGG
rnacentral:ribozyme from 1 species